rnacentral:rRNA from 1 species
UUUAUGGAGAGUUUGAUCCUGGCUCAGGAUGAACGCUGGCGGCGUGCCUAAUACAUGCAAGUCGAGCGAACUGACGAGGAGCUUGCUCCUUUGACGUUAGCGGCGGACGGGUGAGUAACACGUGGGUAACCUACCUAUAAGACUGGAAUAACUCCGGGAAACCGGAGCUAAUGCCGGAUAACAUAUCGAACCGCAUGGUUCGAUAGUGAAAGACGGUCUUGCUGUCACUUAUAGAUGGACCCGCGCCGUAUUAGCUAGUUGGUGAGGUAAUGGCUCACCAAGGCAACGAUACGUAGCCGACCUGAGAGGGUGAUCGGCCACACUGGAACUGAGACACGGUCCAGACUCCUACGGGAGGCAGCAGUAGGGAAUCUUCCGCAAUGGGCGAAAGCCUGACGGAGCAACGCCGCGUGAGUGAUGAAGGUCUUCGGAUCGUAAAGCUCUGUUGUUAGGGAAGAACAAAUGUGUAAGUAACUAUGCACAUCUUGACGGUACCUAACCAGAAAGCCACGGCUAACUACGUGCCAGCAGCCGCGGUAAUACGUAGGUGGCAAGCGUUAUCCGGAAUUAUUGGGCGUAAAGCGCGCGUAGGCGGUUUUUUAAGUCUGAUGUGAAAGCCCACGGCUCAACCGUGGAGGGUCAUUGGAAACUGGAAAACUUGAGUGCAGAAGAGGAAAGUGGAAUUCCAUGUGUAGCGGUGAAAUGCGCAGAGAUAUGGAGGAACACCAGUGGCGAAGGCGGCUUUCUGGUCUGUAACUGACGCUGAUGUGCGAAAGCGUGGGGAUCAAACAGGAUUAGAUACCCUGGUAGUCCACGCCGUAAACGAUGAGUGCUAAGUGUUAGGGGGUUUCCGCCCCUUAGUGCUGCAGCUAACGCAUUAAGCACUCCGCCUGGGGAGUACGGUCGCAAGACUGAAACUCAAAGGAAUUGACGGGGACCCGCACAAGCGGUGGAGCAUGUGGUUUAAUUCGAAGCAACGCGAAGAACCUUACCAAAUCUUGACAUCUUUUGACCACUCUAGAGAUAGAGUUUUCCUCUUCGGAGGACAAAAUGACAGGUGGUGCAUGGUUGUCGUCAGCUCGUGUCGUGAGAUGUUGGGUUAAGUCCCGCAACGAGCGCAACCCUUGAGCUUAGUUGCCAUCAUUAAGUUGGGCACUCUAAGUUGACUGCCGGUGACAAACCGGAGGAAGGUGGGGAUGACGUCAAAUCAUCAUGCCCCUUAUGAUUUGGGCUACACACGUGCUACAAUGGACAAUACAAAGGGCAGCAAAACCGCGAGGUCAAGCAAAUCCCAUAAAGUUGUUCUCAGUUCGGAUUGUAGUCUGCAACUCGACUACAUGAAGCUGGAAUCGCUAGUAAUCGUAGAUCAGCAUGCUACGGUGAAUACGUUCCCGGGUCUUGUACACACCGCCCGUCACACCACGAGAGUUUGUAACACCCGAAGCCGGUGGAGUAACCAUUUGGAGCUAGCCGUCGAAGGUGGGACAAAUGAUUGGGGUGAAGUCGUAACAAGGUAGCCGUAUCGGAAGGUGCGGCUGGAUCACCUCCUUU